rnacentral:rRNA from 1 species
UGGGGAAUCUUGGACAAUGGGCGCAAGCCUGAUCCAGCCAUGCCGCGUGUGUGAAGAAGGCCUUUUGGUUGUAAAGCACUUUAAGCGAGGAGGAGGCUACCUGUAUUAAUACUAUAGGCUAGUGGACGUUACUCGCAGAAUAAGCACCGGCUAACUCUGUGCCAGCAGCCGCGGUAAUACAGAGGGUGCGAGCGUUAAUCGGAAUUACUGGGCGUAAAGCGCGCGUAGGCGGUUUGUUAAGUCGGAUGUGAAAUCCCCGGGCUCAACCUGGGAAUUGCAUUCGAUACUGGCAAGCUAGAGUAUGGGAGAGGAAGGUAGAAUUCCAGGUGUAGCGGUGAAAUGCGUAGAGAUCUGGAGGAAUACCGAUGGCGAAGGCAGCCUUCUGGCCUAAUACUGACGCUGAGGUGCGAAAGCAUGGGGAGCAAACAGGAUUAGAUACCCCAGUAGUCCCUGAGCGGGCUGGCAAGGCG